rnacentral:rRNA from 1 species
GAUGAACGCUGGCGGCGUGCCUAAUACAUGCAAGUCGAGCGAACGGACGAGAAGCUUGCUUCUCUGAUGUUAGCGGCGGACGGGUGAGUAACACGUGGAUAACCUACCUAUAAGACUGGGAUAACUUCGGGAAACCGGAGCUAAUACCGGAUAAUAUUUUGAACCGCAUGGUUCAAAAGUGAAAGACGGUCUUGCUGUCACUUAUAGAUGGAUCCGCGCUGCAUUAGCUAGUUGGUAAGGUAACGGCUUACCAAGGCAACGAUGCAUAGCCGACCUGAGAGGGUGAUCGGCCACACUGGAACUGAGACACGGUCCAGACUCCUACGGGGGGCAGCAGUAGGGAAUCUUCGCAAUGGGCGAAAGCCUGACGGAGCAACGCCGCGUGAGUGAUGAAGGUCUUCGGAUCGUAAAACUCUGUUAUUAGGGAAGAACAUAUGUGUAAGUAACUGUGCACAUCUUGACGGUACCUAAUCAGAAAGCCACGGCUAACUACGUG